rnacentral:tRNA from 1 species
GCCGGAAUGGUGGAAUUGGUAGACACAAGGGACUUAAAAUCCCUCGGUAGAAAUACUGUGCCAGUUCAAGUCUGGUUUCCGGCA